rnacentral:rRNA from 1 species
GGCUGAUGCAGCACUCUGAUCAGCCAUGCCGCGUGCAGGAGACUGCCCUAUGGGUUGUAAACUGCUUUUAUAGAGGAAGAAACGUCCCUACGUGAAGGGAAUUGACGGUACUCUACGAAUAAGGAUCGGCUAACUCCGUGCCAGCAGCCGCGGUAAUACGGAGGAUCCAAGCGUUAUCCGGAAUCAUUGGGUUUAAAGGGUCCGUAGGCGGACUAGUAAGUCAGUGGUGAAAGUUUGCGGCUCAACUGGAGAAUUGCCAUUGAUACUGUUAGUCUUGAAUCAUUGUGAAGUGGUUAGAAUGAGUGGUGUAGCGGUGAAAUGCAUAGAGUCACUCAGAAUACCGAUG